ACGGGGUGCAGCAGGCGCGAAAACUUUACAAUGCUGGAAACAGCGAUAAGAGAACCUCGAGUGCCGAGAUACAAUCUCGGCUGUCUAGCUGCCUAAAAAGCAGUUGAUAGCAAGGGCCGGGCAAGACCGGUGCCAGCCGCCGCGGUAACACCGGCGGCUCGAGUGGUAACCGCUAUUAUUGGGCCUAAAGCAUCCGUAGCCGGCUCUGCAAGUUUUCGGUUAAAUCCAUUUGCUUAACAAAUGGGCUGCCGAAAAUACUACAUAGCUAGGGAGUGGGAGAGGUAGACGGUAUUCGGUAGGAAGGGGUAAAAUCCUUUGAUUUAUUGAGGACCACCUAUGGCGAAGGCAGUCUACCAGAACACGUUCGACGGUGAGGGAUGAAAGCUGGGGGAGCAAACCGGAUUAGAUACCCGGGUAGUCCCAGCUGUAAACGAUGCAGACUCGGUGAUGCACUGGCUUGUGGCCAGUGCAGUGCCGCAGGGAAGCCGUUAAGUUUGCCGCCUGGGAAGUACGUACGCAAGUAUGAAACUUAAAGGAAUUGGCGGGGGAGCAC
rnacentral:rRNA from 2 species